rnacentral:sRNA from 1 species
GCUGGGUGUGGUGGCGCACAUCUGUGAUCCCAGCAACUCAGGAGGCUGAGGCAGGACGACCACAAGUCUGAAACCAGCCUCCA